AAUAGAUACCCCGGUAGUCCACGCCGUAAACGAUGAGUGCUAAGUGUUAGGGGGUUUCCGCCCCUUAGUGCUGCAGCUAACGCAUUAAGCACUCCGCCUGGGGAGUACGACCGCAAGGUUGAAACUCAAAGGAAUUGACGGGGGCCCGCACAAGCGGUGGAGCAUGUGGUUUAAUUCGAAGCAACGCGAAGAACCUUACCAGGUCUUGACAUCCCAAUGACCGCUCUAGAGAUAGAGUUUUCCCUUCGGGGACAUUGGUGACAGGUGGUGCAUGGUUGUCGUCAGCUCGUGUCGUGAGAUGUUGGGUUAAGUCCCGCAACGAGCGCAACCCUUAUUCUUAGUUACCAUCAUUUAGUUGGGCACUCUAAGGAGACUGCCGGUGACAAACCGGAGGAAGGUGGGGAUGACGUCAAAUCAUCAUGCCCCUUAUGACCUGGGCUACACACGUGCUACAAUGGACGGUACAAAGAGCUGCGAACCCGCGAGGGUAAGCCAAUCUCAUAAAAACCGUUCUCAGUUCGGAUUGUAGUCUGCAACUCGACUAC
rnacentral:rRNA from 1 species